rnacentral:rRNA from 1 species
CUAAUUUACAAGUAUAUGAUUUAUCUACACGGAUAACUUUGGCAAUUCUGGAGCUAAUACGUGCAUUGAUGCCUAACUUUUGUUGGGUGCAGUUAUUAGUACAAAACCAUCCGACUUCGGUCGGUUUUGUUAACUCUGGAUAAUGUUGCUAAUCGCGUGGUCUCGUACCAGCGAUGUAACUUUCAAGGGACUGAUCUAUCAACUUCGACAUUAGUGUAUUGAACUAAUGUGGUGUUGACGGAUAACGGAGAAUUAGGGUUCGACUCCGGAGAAAACGCCUGAGAAACGGCGGUUACAUCCAAGGAAGGCAGCAGGCGCGAAAAUUACCCACUCUCGGUUCGAGGAGGUAGUGACGUGAAAUGGCAGAAUCCUUUUCUUUAUGGAACGGAUUAUUGCAAUGAUGUGAGUUUAUAAACCUUACAAAUUUGCUAUGAGAGGGCAAGUCUGGUGCCAGCAGCCGCGGUAAUUCCAGCUCUCAUACUGCAUUGAAUAGUUGUUGCGGUUAAAAAGCUCGUAGUUGGAUCUUUUACGUUUGCGUGGUCUGCUCAUUGAGUGGUACUACUGCAACGUAAUUUGUAUGGGAUUUCUGUAUUCUUUAUUGAGUGCAGUGUCUUAUACGAUUACUUUGAAUAAAUCGGAGUGAUUCAAACAGGCGUAAGCUUGAACGUUCUUGCAUGGAAUAAUAAAACAAGACAUUGGGCUUGUUUUUUGGUUUUAAAGACCAAUGUAAUGAUUAAAAGGAACAAUUCGGGGGCAUUCGUAUUGAUGCGCGAGAGGUGAAAUUCGUUGACCGUAUCAAGACGAUCUAAAGCGAAGGCAUUUGCCAAGAAUG